rnacentral:tRNA from 1 species
GCCGGAAUAGCUCAGUCGGUAGAGCAGAGG